CACGUAGGCGGACUCUUAAGUCGGUGGUGAAAUCCUGGAGCUCAACUCCAGAACUGCCUUCGAUACUGGGAGUCUCGAGUUCGGGAGAGGUGAGUGGAACUGCGAGUGUAGAGGUGAAAUUCGUAGAUAUUCGCAAGAACACCAGUGGCGAAGGCGGCUCACUGGCCCGAUACUGACGCUGAGGUGCGAAAGCGUGGGGAGACAAACGA
rnacentral:rRNA from 1 species